UUUACUUUGGCAGAUUAAAUGCAUUAGCCUUAGAAACUAAUAAUGGGAAUUUUCUCAAGUAAGU
rnacentral:tRNA from 1 species